ACGGGGGUAGCUCAGAGCAGAGCAUUCGACUGCUUGUCGAAGGGUCGUCGGUUCAAAUCCGACCCCCCGUU
rnacentral:tRNA from 1 species